rnacentral:lncRNA from 1 species
CUAUCCAAAAUUUUUAUACAAAAAUCAAGCACCAGCGUAAAGUCAUAAUAAACACUGUGUGUCAUAUAUAUUUAUUAAAAAAAUUGAUUACAUUAUAUAUAAUGUUCAUCAAUUAUAAACCAUAAUAGAAGACAAGAAAUCAAAAGAAAUGUACAUAUAUAAAAUUCAAAAAAAAAAGAGAGAGAUAUUAGGCCAUCAGUGAUCCAUAGGAGCU